rnacentral:lncRNA from 1 species
ACUACUACAAAAUUAUACAUACAUAACACUUAAUACAUAACGGUUUUUUCAAAAAACCGUUAUGUAUGAGCGCACUUUUAGGUAUAGAUAACGGUUUGACAAAAAACCGUUAUCUAUGUAGUGUUCUCCAUACUCAUAGAUAACGGUUUAAGUUAUUCCGUUAUGUUUGUGCGUUAUCUAUUAGUUGCAUACAUAACGGUACUACAAAACCGUUAAGCCGACCGUUAUCUAUGAGCAUCCUUUUAUAACGGUUAUUUUAACCGUUAUAUAUGAGCACCUCAAUACUGUUAUGUAUUAUUUUUUAUACUUAUUUUUAAAUUUAAUUUUAUUAUAAAAAAUCAAACCCCUAACCACCCCCACCAAAUUUCCCCAAAUCGAAGACGUCGCCCAGUACCCUCUCUAUCUCUCAGCUCUUGUCGCCGUCGGAGAUGCCGUCCACCGCCGCCCUCUGUCCGCAGCAGCAAAGCAGGCCGAGCAAGGCGAGCGUUGGGCUUGUGCUGUUGGCGGUGAUAGGCGUCGGACAGAGGCUCUUCAGAGGACUGCAGACCAUCCUCGCGCGACGGGGAGUUUGCAGAGACAAGUCGUAGCGACGCUAGCGGUGGACGGUGAAUGAUCGAGACGUGGAAGUGCAUUUCGGCGGCCAUCCAGACGGCGGCCGAGUGUACGACGGCGGCGGGCUAGGGUUUUCAAACCCUAGCUGUGAAGAAGAUAAGAAACGGGUCAGAAAGAUGGGUCUUCGGGUAAAAAUAAAAUAAAAUUCUUUCUCACUUCGUUAUUGUGUUUGGAAUUUGAGCUAAUUUGCUGAGUUCAGGGCAGGAUUACAUAUGGAGGGUUCACAAAAUCCCAGGGAGCAAGAAAUGGGAAUUGGCCAUGAGAAGCCAUCAAUUGUGGGAGGAGAUGGCUGCGAGCAUCACGAAUCAAGGUAUGGAUCCUUUGUUGGAGCAUGGUUGGACGAAGACAAGUUCAGUUCAGAUAUUGGAUUUUUUUUUCUUACCUCAAAGAGUUCUUUCCUUGUUUGUUGAUAUAAUAUGAUUUGUUGUUGUCGACUGGAUUCAACAAAUAGUUAAAUGAGAAGUUGAGUGGUGAUUACAACUAUUAUGGAAAGAGAAGAUGUAGAUUAAGUAGCUAUUCGUUGCAAAUUUUGACUUGAUAGCAAUAACCCUCCCUAGUUACAUUUUGGAUGCAAAGAUUGACAAACAACAGAAGUUAUUUACUUUACUAUAUAUGUCUGCACCAAUUAGAUGUGGUGUUAGUCUGUUAACCUAUGACUUUGUCUAAUUUGAUUUUUCAUUGUAUUUAGUUGACAUGUAUAUGAUAAUGUUAAGGAACCAAACUUUUUCUUUCUUUUAUUAGUUGAAAUGCAUCUCAAUGCAGGAAACAUGGGUAAAGAGGAACAUGGUGUUUACUGUUUUAUUAGCUCCAUUUUUGAUGAAAUCAACAAUAUAUAGUUAUAACUUGUAAACCCUCUCUUUCAGAAUUAGAAUUACAGUAGGCUCUUACAGUUCUAUGACCCGAAAGAUGUAUAUUUACUCUUCGUUAUGUCUUGUAAUGCAAGAUACUGGUUUCAGUGUUGCUGCAAGUUACUUAAUUAAACGAUACUCCUGCUCUGAAGAAGGCUGAUAUUGGAAGUGCCGUUCCUUUUCAGACCGUCGUCCAUCUGUCCGUCGGCAACUCACGCACACCGCACACGGUAAGCCCUCUCUCUCAGAAUUAGAAUUACAGAUUUGCUUGAAUUUGUUUCGAAUUUUACUUUCUUAUUGUAGUUGGGUACAUGGAAUAUUGCUUAGUUUCAUUUUAUUUGCUAAACUUAAUCAUGUGAAGCUUUUAUUAUUAAAUGAAAUGUAAAGUAUUUUCAUAGGACUAGCAGAUAGCUUGAAAUUUGAUAUUUUGGUACUUUGAUUUGGUAUCUAUUUUUUCAUAUUCAUCGCUCUGAUUUCAUGAAGCAUAGAUGGCGUUUAUGAUUUUUAGUUGUCAUUCUAGCUAGGCAUUGACAUUGAACAACCUGAUGAAAUCUUGAAACCAAAUUGCCAUUUAAUUUGUAAGGCAUCUGGAGUGUGGUCUUUUCUUUUAUUUUUCAUAUUAAUUCAUGUGUGUGUUGUGUUUGAUUUGAUGGGACUAAUUGCAGAUGGUGGGGUAUGGAUGGGCUGGGAUAUUGAGAAAAUACUUGGUUGUUCCAGUUGAGAUGUGGUGGCCUUCCAAUGUCACGCAAGUUUCCUUGUUUAGGUAAAAUAAAUCAAAAUUCUGUUAUUAAUUUCUAUUUCCAAGAGUAUUGCUGUAGAAUACAUAAUCACUACCUAUGUAGUUAUAGAAAGAUUUUGGUUGUUAAUCACCUUGGGCAAUUUGAGUGCGUUGACACUUUUGCACUUCAUGGCGUUCCCUUAUUCCAAGGCUUUGAUAUUUCUAAUCAAUUAAUGCUAGCUAUUGGUAUUUCUAAUUCUUAUUCCAAGGCUUCGACUUAUUGGUUCCAAUUGAAUUGCUGGUGUUAUUGUGGACGUGAGGUUUGAAUUCGAUUAUGAAUUUUCUUCAUGACAAGAUUUUGUCCUUUUCUAAUUUAGAAGUCAUGUUUCUUUGUAUAUUUUCACGUUUCUAAUUCUAUAAAUGAGUGUUGAGAAAUUGAAUAAGAAGUACACAUUGCAUCGAGAAUGGUUGAUUCCAGAUUAGAUUAUGGUUGGCUUUUGUGUGGUAGUAAAGUUAGUGAAAGCGAAGAAGACAACAAUAGAAUAAGAAAUUUUCAUAUUCUUGAACUUCUCUGAUAUUUACAUUUUUGUAGUAUAUUAGUUUUUUAAAUGAGUGAAGUUUCAUGUAUUAAAUUUGCUUAGCUUUGAUAUAUAUGUUGAUCUAUAUCAGUUGCUUAAAAUUGCCUAUUUUCAAUUGUUUUUUGCAGGUAAUCAGUGGCAUUAAGAAGGGGAGCAACUGUGGUUCUGUUUUGGUGCACUCGGGAAGCAUUUCUCCUACCUAGGUAAAGAGUAAACUUAAUCAGUUGGUUUGAAUGUGCUAUUGUAGGUGUCAUGUGUUAUUUUAAAAUCAGUUGGUUUCUCAAAUUCGUAGAGAUCGUUGUGAGGAGAGAAUGGACUGUAAUUCAGCAGUUUCCGGCAGCCACUCAAAAGAAAUUGGUUAACUUACACUCAAAAUUAAAGACGCAGGUAUGAAUUUUUGCUCAAAACUUAGCUUACGUUUGCUGCUACUGAUAAAACUGAAGUAAUUCCUACUAUGUUGACAUGGUUUAUUCGAAAUGGGUCAUUUCUCACAGCCUAGUUCUUGGAUUUCUUCACAUGUUUAGAUUAUCUUUUGCUUAUGAGAAAUUCUAAUAACGAUCACAUGACUUUCACUUUGAUUAUUUGAUAUAGCAUUUGGCUUUUUUGCAUAAGAUCGCCUACUGCUUCUAUGUAUACUCGAAUAAUUUCCUUUUCUUUGGCAUAGUUUCUCGUCCUUUUUAGUUAUUUAUGGGGCUUGAUGAUGAUCUUGUUGCAGAUCCCGGGUGCUUUGCAGUUUUUGCAGCUUGGAGAAAGCAGCGUUGCAUGCUUCGGGUGUACUGCGCAGGACAGGGAAGCACUUAUUCUUGAGGGACAACAACAAUGAAAAACCUUCUCUUCUGCUGCUCCAGAUGACCGAAGAUUUUGAUGAGCUUAAGUUCAUGUGAAGUUCCUUUGAGAUGGUGGUGUGGUGAGUUAGGUGGUGUUGUGGCUCCUUUGAGAUUACAGUGGUGUUACACCAUGAAUAGAAAUUCGGUGAAAAUCCCUUUUUUUUUUUUUUUUGAGUUGGGCUCAAAACAUUAUGUAUGAAGAUUUUGGAUGAUAAUGUAUGAAUAUUGUGUGAUUAUAAUAUUUUGAAUGUUAUAUAUUAUAUGUUAUCUAUGUCAAUGUCAUUUUGUUAUUUUAGAACUAUUAAUUUAAUUUUUGAGAUAAAUAAAAGGAAAAUUAAAAAAAUAUAUUCUUGUUAUAAAAAGUGCAAAAAACUGUUAUAAAAAGUGCAAAAAACCGUUAUGUAUUUUCUAUCAAAGAUAACGGUUAAAACCGUUAUAAAAAGUGCAAAAAAUUGUUAUGUAUUUCUAUCAAAGAUAACGGUUAAAACCGUUAUAAAA